rnacentral:rRNA from 1 species
UACGUAGGGGGCAAGCGUUGUCCGGAUUUAUUGGGCGUAAAGAGCUCGUAGGCGGCUUGGCAAGUCGGGUGUGAAAACUCCAGGCUCAACCUGGAGAUGCCACUCGAGACUGCUAUGGCUAGAGUCCGGUAGGGGACCACGGAAUUCCUGGUGUAGCGGUGAAAUGCGCAGAUAUCAGGAAGAACACCGGUGGCGAAGGCGGUGGUCUGGGCCGGCACUGACGCUGGAGACGCGAAAGCGUGGGGAGCAAACAGG